rfam:Camelus ferus unplaced genomic scaffold scaffold188, whole genome shotgun sequence.
GAGGGUAUAGCUCAGUGGUAGAGUGCGUGCUUAGCAUGUAUGGGGUCCUGGGUUCAAUCCCCAGUACCUCCA